rnacentral:rRNA from 1 species
UACGUAGGGGCCGAGCGUUGUCCGGAAUCAUUGGGCGUAAAGAGCGUGUAGGCGGCCAGAAAAGUCCGCUGUGAAAACUCGAGGCUCAACUUCGAGCUGUCGGUGGAAACUUUCUGGCUAGAGUCCGGAAGAGGAGAAUGGAAUUCCUGGUGUAGCGGUGAAAUGCGCAGAUAUCAGGAAGAACACCCGUGGCGAAGGCGGUUCUCUGGGACGGUACUGACGCUGAGACGCGAAAGCGUGGGGAGCGAACAGG